UCUGCAUGCGCUGCGGCGAGAGUAUAAGUGCCUUGAUCUGUGGCACAGCUCCUAACCCCAUUCCCUUUGGUUUCGGCUUGACUCAUUGUGAAUUCUGAUGCGUACUUUCUUUUGGUCAGGGCACCAUGAGGUUGCUGCUGACUACGAUUCCCAACUUCCAGGAGAUAAGGUUCAUCGCACUCUGUUCUCGUUGCGAAAGCUUAUUGUUUUGAUUUUAAAACGGUGGUAGAUAUGCGUUUGUAAAUUUGCAGGUCGUUGUGAUGGCUUUUGAAUGCCCGCAAUGUAAUGAAAGGUAAUGCAAUACUCGUCGGGGUACUUUUGCACAUGCAAGCGCAGUAUCUUAAGUUUUGUGUGCUUGUGAACUAGGAACUACGAGGUCCAGUUUGCUGGACAGUUCCGGCCUAAUAACCAAAGAUGAUGUGUGGCUAGAAAUGACAUGAUGUCUCGUUUAGCAUGGCUGUUGUUCUGAACUGUAACCUACACCAGAGCGUUGUGUGCAGAUAAUUGACGGGAAGGAGCUCCUGAUGGGAAGGACAUACACUGACAAUCAUCAUGUGAAGAAGGUAUACACUAUGCAGCAAUUCAUUCACUCAGUCAAAGCUCCUCGCACAAUCAUGUACACAUGGUUUGAUAUAUCAAUAAAGAUAUUAUCUGCCAUUUAUUGCUUUAUGUGCCGCGACCUACUCCAAGAAUGGGCAUAUAUUCAUGAUGUCGAUCCCACAUAUAUGUUCCAACGGUUAGUUCUGAACUUCUGAUUAACGAAUGAAAUAUUCAGAAUAUGUUUACCACCUGCCGGACCGCUGAUUGAUCAAAACAAAGAAAAACAAUAACAUAAGAAGGAUUAGUGGCUAGAAACCCACUGGUCUUUCCCAAGAUUCGUGGAGCGUUAAUUUGGUUAGCUAUGUAGUCCAUUUGAUUGCCAAGGAAGAAUGUGUGCUUGCUCUAAUUUGUUUGAAUGCAUACACAUUUUAGUAUACCAAGUAGGGGACCUGGCUGACGGGGACAUGACGUCAACACCCUGCUUGCUCUAACAUUUUUGGCGACGAGUUCACGAACAAUCUGUAUGCUUAUUACUCAGCUGCCACGGAAUUUAUUCCAAAUUGAAAUGACAUAUCCGGAGUAUUUUGAUACCUUGUUUAACAUAAAUCGUAUUUUGCCUGCACCACUAAGGUGAACUUAACCAAGGCUACAAUGUAAAGAAGCACAAUGUGCCAGUUACCAGUAGGUUUGUUUGAGAAUAUUGUUCAGCUGAUGUAAACAAAAAUGAAAGGUUAUAGAUAUGGCUUCUUACAUGAUGGUUGGGUGGUCUACAAGUUAGGCUCGUAAGGAUGGUGAGUAGCAAGGCAUAUCUGAACAUGGACAUGUUCUUCACCCUCGACGACGGCAACACCGUGAAUCGCAUACUUUUUAAUCAAGUUCCUGAUGUAUAUUAGGGAUACAAUAUUCGACUUUUGUAUUGUGGGUGCCAUUGCUGUAUGUUGACAUGGCUGCGAGAUUUAUCAAAUGGUCCAAGUUUAAUCUUUACUAGAAGUAAAAAAUGUAGGCUGUUACUACAGUUGAAGCGCCAAGCAAGAUUCCGUAAUGGGAAAUCUGCAAGUUCUAAACCAUCUCUGAUUUGAGUAGGUAACUAUUUGAAAGAUAAUAGGGGGAGAAUCCAGUAGUUGUUUUAGUCUGUAACGCUAGCUAAUCAUUAUACUUUAAUAUACUUUUUUGGUUCCUAUCACAGGUCAAGCAAUUGAAUGAUUGGAAAUAUGUAACUACAUUACCAUCUCGGACUAAUCAACCAUUUGAAAGACAUUAUGUGCUCGGGGAGGUAUAUUACUCUGAAACACUUGAGUUCUUAGCUCUGGCUAAGCUUAAUACUAUGUUACUUUACUACUGGCAUUGGGCUACUAAUGUGAAGUAAUUGAAUGCAUGUAAUACUUGUCUACAUUGGGUAAUACUUGUCUUCUAUUGUAUAUAUUCUUUAUUUAUCACCCUUUUCCCUGUAAUGUUGUAAUGCUUUAGUAAUCUUAUUUGUACUGGAAACUGAAGGCUGUACAGCUGCUUUAAGUGAAAAAAUCUACUUACAUUUCAAUAUUUCUGGAAGACCGAAAUGUAGUGUGAAUUCAGCACACAGCGGGUGCAGGAGUGACUGUGUGGUCAUGUUUUUGCAUUGUAACCUGAAACUCAUGCCCAAACUAAUAUUUGCCGGUCGUUUAAUGACAAGCCUGUGAGUCCCAAUGCGGGUUUUUUGAACUCUCAGGAGUAUUGAGGUAUACCAAUAUUUGUGUUCGCAACAAGGAACGGGAAAACCCUUGUCAGCGGUUGAUUGCCAAAUCCCCCGAGUUAUGCCGUCGAGUAAGCAGAUAGAAAAUUAACCAGGACCAUUUGACCUAAAGUUAGGGAGAUUGUGCCUUGAGCGCAUACAACCAACAAAUAACUUGAGUACGUAUAGCCAAAGCAAUAAGAUAGUUUGGACACAGUCUGAAGAUUGUGCUUGACAAGCAAAACAUGUGUACAUCAUAGGGCCUGCUCUUUAAGCUGGGUCAACUAAUAUGUGCCUUAUUUCUUACUGGCCCUGCUAGAUGCAUCCCCGACGGUCCAUUUCGCCUAUUUCACAUGAACAUAAGCCAUUAAGGACGACCUUGUCUUUGCUCGCGUCGCCGUGCAGCGAACGGCACGUGGUUGAACACACUAUAAUUUAUGUUGCAGUUGUAGCAGCUGCUACUAGAGCCAUGAAUUCAAGAGAGGUUGGUGAGGAUGUUUGGGUUCUCAUUGUCCUUGUCCACACUGCCGAUGUGGGGGUGGCACAAUAGAUUGGUUACUUUCCCAUGUUAUUUCCCUUUCCUGGAUGUUUACUUUUCGUUACCACCUGGCUCAUCUACCUUUCCUGAUCAAAAGGCUCUUAUCUCACUCAAUUUGUUUGUUGUAAUAACAAAUCUACCAUCUUCAUUUAUACUUUUGUUGUUUCUUAGUUUGAGUUGUGUUGUUUAACUAUGGAUUAUUUUGGGUGCAGCAAAAACUUUUGGGCAGACACCUUGGUGGUUUUUUCGUACUAUUAAGGAGGCACCAUUGCAACCUGAACAAGGUUUGUGAGCACCUAGCUUAAUCCUUCUGUAUGGAUCCUACAAGCAGAAGUCAUCCACAUCACGUUUUAAUAUUCUGGAGUAUUAUUUCAUCCCUAGCUCCACUUGCUGCUCAAAACCUGUGCAUACCAUAGUUUGACAACCAGCAGACCCCUAGAAUCUGUUGCAUGGAGUGAGCUACCUUUUUUUUGCGGGAUCAUGGAG
rnacentral:lncRNA from 1 species